GCUGGUUAUUCAGGAAAAGGAUCUUAGUCCAAUUUUAAUCCUUCUCAUAACACUAAAUACAUCCACAGGUUUAAAAUUUACUCAAAUAAGGUACAGCCUAUUUGAGGCAGGAGACAACCUACAACAGAGGGUAAUGUUUUCAUCAAUGUGACCAAGUGGGCCCAAAAGCAGCCAUCUUUUUAAAGAGCGUUAAAGCCUUAUCACACUCAAUUAUUAAUUCCGAUCCAACCCCAAAACCCCUCACCCCUACUGAAUGACUCUAUAUUUAUAUAGAAGCCCUUAUGUUAGAACUAGUAACAAGAAUACCGAUUCUCCUAUAAAUGUAAGUGUAAGCCAAAAUGGACCACCCACCGGCACUCACCGCCAAUGAACCGACAGUAACAACCACAAGAAAACCUUACUUCACCCAGCGUUAACCUUACACAAGAACUUUUCUGGAAAGAUUAAAAAAAGAGGAAGGAACUCGGCAAAUAUUAACCCCGCCUG
rnacentral:rRNA from 1 species